rnacentral:rRNA from 1 species
UACGAAGGGGGCUAGCGUUGUUCGGAAUUACUGGGCGUAAAGCGCGUGUAGGCGGCUAUGUAAGUCGGGCGUGAAAUCCCAUGGCUCAACCAUGGAAGUGCACCCGAAACUGCGUAGCUAGAGUCCUGGAGAGGAAGGUGGUAUGCUUGGUGUAGAGGUGAAAUUCGUAGAUAUCAAGCGGAACACCGGUGGCGAAGGCGGCCUUCUGGACAGUGACUGACGCUGAGACGCGAAAGCGUGGGGAGCAAACAGG